GGCUUUCACUGCGGCUGUGCGGGCUCAGCGCCCGCUAAGCGCGCGCUCGGUCGACUCGCGUCGGCGAUUUCUCCGUUCGGUCAAGUUCUCUCGAGGCGGCUGUGCAGUCUACGCUCUCUGAUUCAUAGUAAAACACUCAAUUGAAAACCACAAGAUACGGACUUCCCUGGUGGCGCAGUGGUUAAGAAUCCGCCUGCCGAUGCAAGGGACAGGAGUUCGAGCACUGGUCCAGGAAGAUCCCACAUGCCGCGGAGCAACUAAGCCCGUGCACCGCAACUACUGAGCCUGUGCUCUAGAGCCCACGAGCCACAACUACUGAAGCCCACGCCUAGAGCAUGUGCUCCACAACAAGAGAAGCCACUGCAAUGCGAAGCCCAGGCACCGCAACGAAGAGUAGCCCCCACUCGCCGCAACUAGAGAAAGCCCACGCGCAGCAACGAAGACCCGGUGCAGCCAAAAAUAAAUUAAUUAAUUAAAAAAAAAAAGAUAAAGAAAUUAGCCAGUUUAGGUGUAUAUAUUUGUGGGCAACAAAAGAUACUAAUUCAGAAUUAACUAGUUUGAUAGAAAAUAUGAAAUCUGUAUACCUAAAUACCUGUACAUCUGCUUAAGAGAUAAAAAAGACAGAAUGAGGGAAUAUUGAAGAAGACUAGAGAGUAGGAAAGACGAACCAUCACCCCAAAAUGACAAAGAAGGAAAUAUAAAGAAAAAGAUUAUGGCACAUGAAAAAAAAUAAGCUAAUGGAUUGUGUGGCAUUUUCUUGUUUUAAAACUAAAGAUGUUCGAUCUUACGCAUUUUUGCAAAUACGGACAUACGAUGGGAUAUAACUUAUUAGUAAUUGUUUCCGGAUGUGGAGAAUAUCCACCCUCUUUUUUAAGCCUGAUGUCUGUUGUCCCUUGUUCUAACUUUCAUCCUUCAGCAAAGGUAACCUUUACACACAAGAUGUCCAAUUGAAUUUAAUUCUACAAGCCUCAUAUAACCACCAGUCUCAUUACUUCUCGUAUACAGUUUGGAACAGAGCUCGUUAGAGUAAGAAUGAUGGUAGAUUUUACUGAGGCAAACCAAAAGAUUUCUGAACACAAGCAAUGUUUGGAACAUUUAUGCACCAGUUGAUAAAGUACAGCUCUGGUCAAAGAAAUUUGGAUAGUCCUUCAGAUACUAUAAGUGAAUAUGGCCUGUUUUUUGCCCCUAAGGAGACGUUCUUAACCUGGAUCCAAAGACCUUUUCAUGGGUGUUCCCAGGGAAUUUGUGAACCACUGAAAUUAUAUACAUAAUUUCAUGUCUAUGCACAUUUUUCUAGGGGAGAUGUCUAUAGCUUUUAUUUGCCUUGCUUACUCUGCAAUUUGCCAUCCUGUUUUCUUUAUCUUCUCCCCAUUCCAGAAUUAUCUUGAUUGAGAUACUUUGAUGAAAACCAGAAAUAUUUCCAAGAAUGCAUUAAUAUUGUCAAACAUUAAGGCAUAGGUCAUAAUAUUGUACUGCUGUGGGAGAGACAGGAUUGGACCUUGCAGUGGAAAGCCCUUGGCCUGAAUCCUGGCUCUGCCACUAGCUGGCUCUGUACCUAAAGAGCUACUAAUAUCUACAACAUAGAUUUAUUGUGAGGAAUAAAAGUAUGAAGCGUCUCUUACACGUUACCUGAUAUGUAUUAGGUGUUCGGUGAAUGGGUGAAUGGGUAUCAUUUUAAAACUUACAGCUUUCAGAGAGCAGAACUGUAAUUUAAAUUAAGAUAUAAUUAAGUUCCUCCCCUCUCCAUCCCUAGGGGUAACUAAUGCAUGAAUAGGAAUACGUAUAUUGAUAUAUGUACAUACAUUCAUAUAUGUAUUGAUAUAUGGCUGUAAUUUACUCUUUCACCUGCAGUGUAUAGUGUAGAUUUCUGUUCUUCUCUAUUGCACCAACAUUUGGUAUUGUCAGAGUUUUUUGUUUUUACCACUUUAUUGGUUUAAAAAUGCUGUCUCACUCACUUUGUAUUUUUCUACAGGGAGAGGAUCUUUUCAUGUUUACUGGCCAUGUUCUUAUUCUUUGCUCAUUUUCCUGUUGGUUUUGAUUUUUCUUUUUAAUUUGUAGAAAUAUACUAUAGUCACUUUGGACUCGAAGUUCCAUGUUGAUUGUGUGCACUUUAUAUAUUUUCUUUCCAUAUGUGGAUUGUUGUAUCACUUUGUUUACAGCAAGAUUUCUCAACCUCUGCAGUAUUGACAUUUUGGGUCAGAUAAUUCUUGGUUGUGAAGACUGUUGUGUACAUUGUAGAAUGUGCAGCAGCAUCCCUGACCUCUAUCCACUAGAUGCCAGUAGCACCACUCCAGUCAUGAUGAUCCAAAAUGUCUCCAGACAUUGCCCAUUGUCCCCUGGGAGCAAAAUUGCCCCUGGUUGAGAACCACUGGUUUAUAGUGACUCUUGUGCAGAGUUAUUUAUCUUUAAGAAAACUUUAUUCCACUAACAUUUUUUGGGUUUAUAUUAUGUGGCAGGUCCUAAGUGUUUCAUUUGACCUAAUGCUAACCUUAGCCCAUUUACUAAUCAUAGCACAUAGAAAAUAGAUACUAUUAUUAUCCCUGUUUUAUAAAGGAGAAAUCUUGCUUAUGUCUUCUAAUGUAGAGGAGAUGUUAAUCAACUUUACUGAGCUAUAAUUGACAGACAAUAAAAUGUAUCCAUUUCAAGAGU
ensembl:lncRNA